rnacentral:rRNA from 1 species
ACUCAAAGGAAUAGACGGGGGCCCGCACAAGCAGCGGAGCGUGUGGUUUAAUUCGACGCAACGCGAAACACCUUACCCAGGCUUGACAUGAUGCUGCAAGCCGCGGAAACGCGGUCGCCUUCGAGGGUGCAUCACAGGUGCUGCAUGGCUGUCGUCAGCUCGUGUCGUGAGAUGUUGGGUUAAGUCCCGCAACGAGCGCAACCCUUGGCGUCUGUUAUAUGUGUCAGACGCAACUGCCCUUUGGGAGGAAGGUGGGGAUGACGUCAAGUCCGCAUGGCCCUUACGCUUGGGGCAACACACACGCUACAAUGGCCACGACAAUGCGAAGCUUGCGCGCAAGCGUUGGCGAAUCGCCUAAACGUGGUCUCAGUUCAGAUUGGGGGCUGCAACUCGCCCCCAUGAAGGCGGAGUUGCUAGUAACCGUCGGUCAGCAUUACGACGGUGAAUCUGUACCCGGGCCUUGUACACACCGCCCGU